CCACAAGAAAUAGGAAUAUUUCUCUAGGAAAGCAAGAUAGUGCAAAAAAAAAAAAAAUGCAGUUUUCAUAGAUAUGCUUUUCCAGUAAGGCCAAAAGUAUUUUCAUUACAAUAUGACUUUUAACUGAAUUUCUAUGGGGCUAAGAACAAACUGCCUCUUGCACUAGAAAAAUAAUGACCAUCAUUCCAAGGAGUUAGUACCAUUUAAUGCAUUUAGAAAAGUUCAAAUUCAGCUGUUAUUACCAGAGCCUAGCUUCCUAUUGCAGAAAGAAUUCAGAGACAUGACAGGAAGGUCAAGAAAGUAAAGUGAGGAUUUAUGAAUGCUCUCAAAGGGCGACCAGGCAGGUUCUGGUGAGUAGCUGCUAUGAGUUACUUUGGUAAGCCUUAAUAGGCUUACCAAAGGACAUAGAAAUGGAGGGACAGAAUAUUCACUGGGGAGGGUGGAGCUUGGGGUUGUAAUUCCCAAUUUUCAUUCCAGCUCCACCUUCCUGAAGGAGGGAUUUUUUUCUUUAUUUAGCCUUGAUCAGAGGUGUCAUGGUGUGGAGUUCCUGCUGUGGCACAAUGGGAUCAGUGCCAUUCUUGGGAACACUGGGACAGGGGUUCAAUCCCUGGCCUGGCACAGUGGGUUAAGAACCUUGCAAUGGUGCAACUCUGGCUCAGAUCUGACCCCUGGCCUGGGAACUCCAUAUGCUGAGGGAUGGCCAAAAAAAUAAGUAUCAUGGCAUUGGUGCAUAAUAGCAACUUCUUAGAUAAGCCUAAUGUUAUUGUAAUGAGGGCAUAAUGAGCAACAGGUUACAUUCAGACACCAGAGAUUCCUGCCUUUUCCUCUUUCUUUAUCUGCUUCCAGGACACUUAUCACCCAAAAUGUGUGGUUUCUUGGCAGUCUGGAAGGUCCGGCUUUUCUUUGUCUGCCCAAGGACACUGCUGCUUACAUGAUGCAUGGUUUCCUGCCACCUGGCCCUGUACCCUCCUUUCUCUGCUUAUGUCUAGCUACUUGCCUCCUCCAUUAUGUACCCCACCACAGGGAGUCUGGACCCUAAAAUUCUUUUAAAGGGCAAGGGUCAAUGGUCUGUCUUCUAUAACUGCUUCAAGCUGAGCAUGGUCAUUGUCCCCACCUGUGGGUCCAGCUCUCCUUGCUGUCAGAGAUAGGGCUCUCGGGCUCGUUUACAGCAGCAGAGGUGGAGAGUGGGGCAUGGAAGAAGGCAGCAAGAAGGCAGCAGCCUUGUCUAGCAGGUGUCGAUGUUUCCCAUCUUCAGGUUGGAUGGGUUGAAAUCUCUUACAUAGCAUCAUUUGAAGCUGGAGUUGUUAUAUUCUAGAGAAUGGAAAUUUAAAUAGGCAGUUAAAAAUGCAAGGACCAGAGAGAAAGAUGAGAAGAAAUAUAGUGGCCAGGGGACAUAGAAAUGGAAGGAGCCAGGUAUAUCCUGGAAACCACCCGUUAAGGUCUUAGUCUGCUCCUGUGUCCCUUGUGACAAGGGGUGCAUCCUCAAGUUUGAUUGCAGAUUAGGGAGGUUUGGGUGCUAUAUAGUCCUCGAAUACGGAGGCCAUCUUUUGAAAGGGGAAAAGAGAAAGAAUAGAGGCUGUGGGGCAUCUCUGGUCUUAUCAAACCCAGCAUGGACAGAGAAUUUCCUUCUCGGGUAUAGGUGCCUGGCUAUAGCGACACUCAUAAAAGAUUGUGACAGCAAGAAGGAGAACCAGGGGACAAUAUGUAUCCAAAUCCACCGGAGCAUAUUAGUUAUUAUGUGAGUGGACUGGGGGUAUCAGAAGGUAAAAAUGAAAAAAAAAAAAUAGUGGCCUUAGAUGGAUACUCAGCCUUAGAUCUGUGGUGUACUUUUUGAAUAAAACUUCAGGUGUCAAAGAGGCUUGCUGGUCCACCUGAACUCUGGGGGGGUGUCCAAGAUCCUCCAUGUCCUGUGAAGACACAGGGGUGGGGGCAGGUUUAAUUCUAGAAAGGUGCACCCAACUGUGACCCUCCCCCACAUAGUUUUACUGCAGUAGGAGUGCAGAGAAGGACCUGGUGAAGCCCCUUCCACUUGGGCAGUAAUUUAUCAGAGGGGAACCCUUCCCUCCCUGUUCUUAGAAGAAAGAAAACUCCCAGCUGAACCUGAAUGGGGCCUGUUUCCUGGCUGGGGGCUAGCAAAAACUGAUUUCCAUAUUCCUAAUUCGCCUUUUGGACUUGGUGCAGAUGAAUUAGAUACUUAAUGUGCUCAAUGGUUUUGGCAUCCACCAAAACAUCAGAGACUGAAAAAGGCCUACCCUAGGAGUUCCUGUUGUGGCACAGUGGAAACAAAUCUGACUAGUAUCCAUGAGGAGGCAGAUUCAAUCCCUGGCCUCACUCAGUGGUUUGGGGUUUGGGUAUUGCCAUGAGCUCUGGUGUCAGUCCCAGAUGCAACUGGAUCCUGGGUUGCUGUGGCUGUGGUGUAGGCUGGCAAUUAGAGCUCUGAUUCGACCCCUAGCCUGGGAACUUCCAUAUGCUGUGGGUGCGGCCCUAAAAAGCCAAAAAAAAAAAAAAAAAAAAGACCUACCCUUAGUCAUUUCAAGGAGCUGAGCCUUAGGCCUGUUUUAGGUGCCACCCUGAUUUUCAAGGUUCUGAUGUCUCUUAAUAAAGCUUAGCCAUGAUUCUUUUUUUUCUUUAAUUAAAAAAAAAUUUUUUUUGGCUAUGCCAAUGAUAUGUAGAAGUUCCCAGGCCAGGGAUCACACUUGCACCGCAACAGUGACCCAAGCCACUGCAGUGACAACACUGGAUUAUUAACCUACUGCAGUACAAGGGAACUCCCAUUUUUAUCAUUUUUAAAAAAGAUUCAACAUGUAAGUUACAUCAUGUAAUAUUUGUCUUUCUCUCUUUGUCUUACUUCACUUAGUAUAAUAUCUAUGUCCAUCUGUGCUGCUACAAAUGGCAUUAUUCUUUUUAUGGCUGAGUAGUAUUCCAUUGUAUAUAUGUACCCCAUUUCUUUAUCCAUUCAUCUGUCAAUGGACACUUAAUUUGUUUCCAUGUCUUGGCUGUUGUGAAUACUGCUGCAAUGAAUGUUGCAGUGCAUAUAUCUUUUCAAAUUAUGGUUUUCUCCAUAUGUAUUCCCAGAAGUGGGAUUGGGAAGGCUUUCAGCUUUUUGACAAUUGAGUAUUAUAUUGGCUGUGACUUUGUUAUAAAUAGCUUUUAUGAUGUUGAAAUAUGUUCCCUCUAUACCCAUUUUCAUAAGGAUUUUAUCAUGAAUGGGUGUUGAAUUUCAUCAAAUACUUUUUCUGCAUCUAUUGAGAUGAUUGUGUGGUUUUUGCCUUUUGUUUUUUAAUACGGUGUGUCACAUUGAUUGUUUUGCAUAUGUUGAACUAUAUUGUGACCCUAGGAAGACUCCAACUUGGUCAUAUUUUAUGAUUUUUUUUAAUGUGCUAUCAGAUUUGGCUUCCUAAUUUUUUUGAGAAUUUUUGCAUCUAUAUUCAUCAAAGAUAUUGGUAAUUUUUUUUUGGUAGUGUCUUUGUCUGGUUUUGGUAUCAGGGUAGUAGUGGAUUCACGGAAUAUCUUUGGAAGUGUUUCUUCCUUUUCAAUCUUUUGAAAGAGUUUUAAAAGGAUUGGUACAAUUUCUUCUUUGUAUGUUUGAUAGAAUUCUUCAGUGAAGCCAUCUAUUCCUGGACUUUUGUUUGUAGGGAGUUGCUUUAUUACAUGUUAUAUUUCAUUUCUAGUAAUCCAUAUGUUCAGAUUACCUAUUUUUUUUGACUCAGUUUUUUUGUGGACUGUAUGUUUCUAGAAAGUUAUCCAUUUCUUCUAGGUUGUCAAAUUCAUUAGCAUGUAAUUGUUCAUAGUAUGCUCUUAUGCUUUCUUUUUUUGUAUUUCUGCAAUAUCAGUUGUGAUUUCUCCUCUUUCAUUUCUUAUUUUAAGUCUUCUCUCUUUUCUUCAUGAUGAACUUGGCCAGUUUUUUUAAUUUUGUUCACCCUGUCAAAGAACCAGCUAUUGGUUUUAUUGAUUUUUUUUUCCUUGUGUUUUUAAUCUCUCUAUUUUCUCUUUGAUUUUUAUUAUCUCCUUUCUGCUGACUUUAGGUUUUGUUUGUUCUCAUUCUAGGUUGUGGGUUAGGUUGUUUAUUUUAGAUUUUUCUUAUUUCUUAAAGAAGGACUGUAUUGCUAAGAACUUCCCUUAAGAACUGCUUUUGCAUUAUCCCAUAAAUUUCCUAUGGUUAUAUUUUCAUUGCCAUUUGCCUCAAGGUAUUUUUAAAUUUCUUCUUUGAUUUCAUCAGUGACUCACUGGUUUUUUAGUAUUGUUUGAUCUCCAUAUAGUUAAGUUUUACCUUUCUAUUUUCUGUGGUUGAUUUGUAGUCUUGUCCCAUUGUGGUCAGAAAGGAUGCUUGAAAAAGUCUGGCAUAUUCUUAAAUUUGUUGAGGCUUAUUUUUUUCCCUGGUAUGUGGUCAUUCCUAGAGAAUGUUCUAUAUGCACUGAAAAGAAUGGUGUCCCAAAGAUAGCAAUUAAGACUAACUGUUCUAUUGUAUCACUUAGAACUUCUGAUGCCUUAUCAAUUUUCCGUCUCAAAAAUUUGUCCAUUGAUGCGUGUGGGGGUGUUAAAGUCUCCUACUGUUAUUGUAUUUCCAUCAAUUUCCCCCUUUAUAUCCGUUAGUAUUUGUUUUAUGUAUUUGGGUGCUUCCAUAUUGUGUUCAUAUAUUUGAUGAGUGUAAUAGCCUCUCUUUGUGUUGAUCCUUUUAUGAUUAUAUAGCAUCCCUCUUUAUUUUUCUUUAUAGCCUUUAUUUUAAAGUCUAUUUUGUCUGAUAUAACUAUUAUGAGCCCUGCUUUCUUGUCAUUUCCAUUUGCAUGAAAUAUCUUUUUCCAUCACUUCACUCUCAAUUUAUGUAUGUUCUUUGCCCUGAAGUGAGUCUCUUGUAAGCAGCAUAUUGUAGGCUCUUGGUUUUUUUUUAACCCAGUUUACCACUCUAAGUCUUUUGAUUGGAGCAUUUAGUCCAUUGACAUUUAAGGUAAUUAUUGAUAAGUAUGCAUUUAUUGUAAUUUCAACCUUAUUUUCCCAUUGAUUUUAUAUUUCUCCUUUGUCUCUUUCUUAUUUUCCUUUUGUAAUUUUAUGGUUUUCUUUUUUAUUAGCUUAUGUACUUUUCAGUUUGGUUUUUGUGAAUUUAUUUUAUGUUUUCAAUUUGUGGUUAUCCUGUUUUUCAGGUAUGUUAACCCCUUCCUAUAUCUACUUAAUUUAGACUGGUAGUUAUAUAGGCUCAAACACAUUCUAGGAAAAAAAAAAAAAA
rnacentral:lncRNA from 1 species